GACGAACGCUGGCGGCGUGCUUAACACAUGCAAGUCGAACGGAAAGGCCCUGCUUUUGUGGGGUGCUCGAGUGGCGAACGGGUGAGUAACACGUGAGUAACCUGCCCUUGACUUUGGGAUAACUUCAGGAAACUGGGGCUAAUAUCGGAUAGGAGCUCCUGCUGCAUGGUGGGGGUUGGAAAGAUUCGGCGGUUGGGGAUGGACUCGCGGCUUAUCAGCUUGUUGGUGGGGUAGUGGCUUACCAAGGCUUUGACGGGUAGCCGGCCUGGGAGGGUGAACGGCCACAUUGGGACUGAGGGAGGGCGCAGACGGCUACGGGAGGCAGCAGUGGGGAAUAUUACGCAGUGGGGGGGAGCCUGAUGCAGCGACGCCGGGUGCGGAAUGACGGGCUUCGGGUUGUGAACCGCUUUCGCAUGUAACGAAGCGGGAGUGACGGUAAUGGGUAAGGAAGCACCGGCUAACUACGUG
rnacentral:rRNA from 1 species